rnacentral:rRNA from 1 species
UACCAGCACCCCGAGUGAUCGGGACGAUUAUUGGGCCUAAAGCAUCCGUAGCCGGUUCUACAAGUCUUCCGUUAAAUCCACCUGCUCAACAGAUGGGCUGCGGAGGAUACUAUAGAGCUAGGAGGCGGGAGAGGCAAGCGGUACUUAGUGGGUAGGGGUAAAAUCCGUUGAUCCAUUGAAGACCACCAGUGGCGAAGGCGGCUUGCCAGAACGCACUCGACGGUGAGGGAUGAAAGCUGGGGGAGCAAACCGG